rnacentral:sRNA from 1 species
ACGAAAUGCUUGCAGAAUGUCAGUUAUUGUUUGCACAGUUCUACAAAAGCAGAAACACAAUUGUUUUUGUUGUUUUGGGAAAAACAAAUGCAGGCAAAUGAAAGCCCACAGUCUGUGUUUUCCCUGUAGAACAAUGGCAUUUUGCAGAAAUCCUUUGAGAAGUCUCGAACAAUAGUCAUUGUGUUUGUAGAAAAACAACAACCUCUACCCAGUAUCCCUAUAAGCAAUACCUUGAUUCUGAUGAAUUUCAAAACCAUUGCCAGCCCAUUGAGUUCUUAAAAGGUGUUUUUCUUGUUUCUUUUGGCAAAUUGUAAUUUUACGACUUCAAGGGAAACCAUGGCUACACAGACAAGCAUCACAGGUACAUGAAGUCACUGUGCGAUUUAAUUAUUCUCGGGAAAUUCCCCUGUUCCCAGAGCUAAAUUCACUUUCGUCAUGCAACUCAACUGUAAACUGCAAAGGAUCCUUGGCUUAUCCUAGGGGAAAAAAAUUAAUGAA